UUCGGUUUUACAAAGGAACACAUCUUAGAAAUGGAACUCGCUUGAAUAUCUCUACCUCGUAUAUGACAGUUAAUGGAGUUAUUUACUCCAUGUCUUCUGUGCUGAUUUUCUAGCCAUGAUCCAAUCCACUUCAUUUUACAGGAACACUUGAUUGAUAUACGUCCAAACGAUAUUGUGUGGUCAUUUCUCAUUAACAGUACAUUCUUAUGAAUCUGAACUAUUUUAUUGUGCUGAAGAUUAAUAUUCCGUAGUUUCAUGAUUCCAUAAACAAAUGGAUCUACACUUGUUAUUCUAUUAUUAGAAAAAUUAAUUGAAAACGUUCUAUUCAGAAAAGUACGGUAUUCAAAAACAGAAAUUAAGUUAUGGCUUAAAUUAAUAUCUAAAUCAUCUUGUUGUAGACAAACACUCGGCAUUUUAUACUUUCUAGUCGACGAACAAUUAACCACAACCCUAGACCUCGAUGGUUGUUCGUAACAAUUACAUUCAGGAGGGCAUCCAUUUUUCAUCGAUAUAGCACAUUUUAAAAGGUCUUCACUGAUAUCAACAAUCC
rnacentral:lncRNA from 1 species